CAAAGCAAAAGAAACUUCCCUUGAAACAAAAAGGCAAUCAACCAAAUGGGAAAAGAUGUUUGCACACAACAGCUCCGACAAGGUGUUAAUAUCCCAAAUAUAUAAGGAACCCAUAUAACUCAACACCAAACAAACAAACAAGCCAAUGAAAAAAUAGGCAGAGAAGAGACACUUCUCCCAAAAGACAUACAAAUGACAA